rnacentral:misc_RNA from 1 species
UGUACGAAUAGAGAGGGAGGGAGAGGUAGAGAUAGACGCAGAAGGAGAGCGAAACGGGUUUAGUCCGAGUAGCUGUGGUGUUAGUUGUAUAAUCGCUGAUUUAUUUGACGAUAUCGGAGUGAAGGUACGAAGCGAACAUUGAUUAUCGACUAUUAUUGAUAACAUACAAAACAGUAAUUGACGAGACGUGAUCGUUUGGCUCCGCGAUGGACGGCGCAAACGUGAAUGGCGGGAACGCCGAAGUACCGCGCGAGAAUCCUAACCUCGCUGGUGAUGGCGACGGUAGUGCUGGUGUUGAUAGUGCGACGGAGACGCCAGAUCGACCGGAUUCCAGCGACAAAACACAAUCGACGGCUGGUGGUAACGGAGACGCACAGGAGCUCAACGGUGAAGUUGGCUCACUCAAAAAACGUAGCAUGUUGCUGCCCCGUAAAAGGAUGAAAAGAUCCAAGGCCGACUCCACGGAUGCUAUGGAGAGUAAUGCGGCGAAAACGCCUGGAACGAGGGGACGCAAACGCAAACUCGCGGAUCUUGAAACCGUCAGCUCCGAAGAUUCCGAAGAAUUUAACGGUUUUGACUUUCAAGGACUUGAAUCGCAACCAGGCAGUCAUGUUUUGAAAAAGCUUAUAGCUGAAGCAGAAGUAGCAGAGGCACAAAUUGCAAAACGCGUAAAAUAUUCAACGAGGAUUUCGGAUGCUAGAGAAAAGAUGGAUGAUAAUCAAGAUCUUAAUGAUAUAAAAACUUAUAUUUAUGAAACAGAUAGUUUCGAACAUUUAGAUAUGACAAAAAUUAAAAAAGAUAAGGAAUCUGAUAAAUCGGAAACAGAUUCUAUUGACGUACCAAAUAGUAUAGAUUCUGAAGUAGAGCCAAACAAAAUCGAUAUGACUUCUAAUAGAUCGGUAAAUUCUUCGUCAGCUGCAAGUAGUCCCUCCGCAACAUCACAAAGAUCAAAAGGUAGUCUUAUUUCUGGUGGUGGCAGUCCAGGAGGAAGGCAUAAAAAUGUUGAUAUGUCAAAUCCUUUAUAUAAAGAGCCAUUUAAAUAUGGAUGGAAGCGAGAAUUAGUGUAUAGAGCUAGUAAUGACUCUUCUUCCAAAAAAAUGGCUGAUAUAUAUUAUUACACACCAGCGGGGAAAAAAGUUAGAAGUUUUAGAGAAGUUGCAGAAUCUCUUAAUUCAAAGGAGUUAACCAUUGACAAUUUCACAUUCUUUAAAGAACCUAUUGGACUCAACGAUUCUGAAAAGGAGGUUAUUCGAGAUGCUAAAAGAAUACGAGGAUCAAUAGGUGGAUUUGCAAAGAAAUAUAAAAGAACUGUACAAAUGAAAAAACCCAUACAAGAACCUGAAGCAAAAAAACCAGUACAAGAACCUGUAAUAAAAAAAUCGUCACAUGAACCUAACACAUCAAAAAAGCCUCCGGUACAAGAACCCCCUGCUCCUACUCCUGCUCCUGCACCUGCAGAAAUUUCAAAACUUGUUCCUGCAUCUGUGUCAGUAUCUACAAAAACAGCUAAAUCAGCAAAAGUGAUUUCAACAUACAGAACAAGAACAACUACAAGGAAAACUCCUCAGAUAAAAAUAAAAUCAUCAGCUCAAGAAAGUGAGAUGCUUCCACCUCAGCGGACUACAAAUACGAGAAGAAAUCAACAACCGAUUGAGAAGACUAUACCAGUUAAAACCAAAAGAUUGAUAACGCCCAAAGUUCAAGAGCCAUGCAGCAUAAGGUGUUCGACAAGUAUGGGAUUAAUACCAAGUUUACAAUGUCGAGUUUGUCUCUGUUUAUAUCAUCCUGAAUGUGUUGAUGGCAUGGAGUUUGCAGGCAAUGAUGAUUACGUCUGCAAGAAUUGUCAGCCGGAUAUUAAAGAAUCUCAAAUGCCAAACAAUCCCUCUUUAACACCGCCUCCAUUGAUUCCGAUUAGUAUGUUAAGUGCACAAAAUGCAAAAUCAAUAAAACAUCAGACUAAUUCAUCUCUUCCAAAAUUGCAAAGAAUUCCAAAGUCCGAUGGUGCAGAAGUGCAAAUAAAAAAUUCUUCUAAAACUACCAAAAUACCUUCCUCAAACUCGUCUUCAACCAUAGACAAAAAGGAAGGUACCUGGUUUCCUCAGACGGAAAAUGAAUUUUUGCAAAGUCAUGAUGGUACUAUGCCGAAACCGGCUCAAAAUAUUGCUGUAAUGGGUGGCAAAAGAUAUAUUGUAGUACCAAAAAAUAAUGCAAUGGCAGUUCAACCGGCUAUAACAAUAAAACCAGACAAAAUUGGCGAUAAACCACCAAUACUUCAAGACGGUUUACUUACCGAUAUUACAGACAAUAUUACAGAUAAUUCUAUUACGAAUUUAUGUGCAUCUCCAUCUUUAAAUACUGAUUUACCUGAAAAAAUAAAUAUUACACCUGAUAAAGAAAUUUCAAAAGACGUAAUUCAUCAAACAAAUCUUGUAUCUUCUGAUACCACUGAAAUGACUGAAACAUAUGAUGAUAAAGAUAAGGAUAGUAAUAGUACACCUAAAAGAGAUAAUGCUAUUAAAAAUAUAUUAGAAAACGAAUCUUCUACUGCCAAUGUAGAUCAUGUCUCAGAAAAAAAAAUAGACGCAAAUUGUACAUCACCUGAAAAUAAAUCUGUAUAUACACCAAUACAUGCGGCAAGUAUUACAAAUACUCUUGAAGCAAGUGCAGAAACUGAAACAAUUAAAAUAGAUCGACACCAGUCGUUAUCAAAUAAAGUGGGUACAGUAUCGAAAAUCAAAACUAGCAAGAGGAAGCAAAACCAACAGGAAUUAGAGCCACAACAGAAUUUUAUGAAUACAUUUUGUGCCGGUUAUCAUUCCCUGCUGCGUAUUUUUCAAUAUCUUAAGGUCCAAGAAUUAUUGCGAGCCGGACGAGUUUGUAAAACGUGGCGUGAUCUCGCUGCACAUCAAACUCUAUGGAAGACCGUACGAAUGAAAAAUAGUCAAGUAACUGACUGGGAUGGUUUGGCGGAUACAUUACAGAAACGUGGCACGCAUCAUCUAGAUCUCAGGAAGAUGCUAAUUGCUGGCGAAUCCGAUAGCAUCUGGAAGAAAUUCUUGACUGUCAUACCACGAGUGACUAGUCUCGUGAAGCUUGAACUAUGCAGAUGUCCCGUUUCGGUUGUGGAAGAAGUUAUUAAAACUUGUCCACAAUUAGAAGUAUUUAGUGCGAUGUCGAUUAAAUGUGAAUCUCUUACAUUAGAAUCGAUCGGAAAUUUGAGUCGAUGUCAAGAACUCAGACUCAAAGCAAUAUCUGGAAUGUCCUUACAACAAGAUCUUACACCUUUACAAGAAUUAAAACACUUAACACAAUUGAGUUUAACAUCAGUUAAGGAACUCGGGAAGAAAAAAAUCGACGUUUUACAAUCAUUGACAAACUUGGAGACAUUAGAAUUAGGCGAAUGCUCUGAUUUUCCUGACAAGUUUGGAACUACUGUUUUAAUCAAUUUAAAUAAAUUGGAACGUCUUAGACUUGAAAAAGGUCAAGGAUCGUGUUGUACAUUUGAUAUCCUUGAAGGCGUAUCGAAAUUGCAAAAUUUGAGUCAGAUGGAAUUGGUCAAUUUUGAUGUGAAGAAUGGUUUUGACAAAUGUCUGGCUAAUUGCAAGAACAUCAAAAGGUUAUUAAUUAUACCAACUUACAUAUCCCAAUCGGCGACAUCUAACAACAUGGUGCUUGGAGGUGUCACAGAAUUAUCAGACAAUUUAACGCAUUUUAUAUGGGGUGUUACGCUUGAGUUACUCAGAGUUACGGAAUUGUUUAUCGAUCAGUGCAAUCUUAUGAAAAAACAAAUUACAGGGGAUUCUAUACCAGUUUUAAAACCUGUUCCCUGCUUAAGAUUAAUUUCGGAUAUUGAGGAUGAAAACGAGAACCAAAAAGAAGCUGAUGAUAAACAACAACCACAACAAACGGGACCGCAAGUCGAUAUUUUGCCAUUGCCACAAUUGCAAAAGCUUCUUUUAACCGCAUUACCUAAAACACGAGUUAAGAUCUUGAAGAUUCCUUUUCACGCUACGUGGAGACAAAGCAUUUCUGAUACUACCACGCAAUAGAAACGAGGUGAUAUUAGUUUGAAGUCGAAUGGGACAAAUAGAAUUAAAGCGACAUUUGAAGAUUUUUGAUACAUGUUUUCCGCUGCAAAGAAACUAUGGCAAAAUUUGGGAUAGUAUAUAGAAUAUGUAAUAUACUUACUUUAUUGCACACAAUACAUAAUCAAACAUACUGUUAUGAAAAUAUUCAUUAAUUGACAUGUACUGAGUACAAAAUGUGUGUAACUGUAAGUUUUCAAUAAUGACUUCUAUACUCUUAAUGAAUUUA